GAUGAACGCUAGCUACAGGCUUAACACAUGCAAGUCGAGGGGUAACGAGAGGAAAGCUUGCUUUCCUUGUCGACGACCGGCGCACGGGUGAGUAACGCGUAUCCAACCUGCCCCCAACUAGGGAAUAACCUUGCGAAAGUAAGACUAAUACCCUAUAAUUUCCUCAGAUGACAUCUGACGAGGAAUAAAGAUUUAUCGGUUGUGGAUGGGGAUGCGUCUGAUUAGCUUGUUGGCGGGGUAACGGCCCACCAAGGCAACGAUCAGUAGGGGUUCUGAGGGGAAGGGCCCCCACAUUGGAACUGAGACACGGUCGAAACUCCUACGGGAGGCAGCAGUGAGGAAUAUUGGUCAAUGGGCGGAAGCCUGAACCAGCCAAGUAGCGUGCAGGAUGACGGGCCUAUGGGUUGUAAACUGCUUUUAUACAGGAAUAAAGUUAGCCACGUGUGGUUAUUUGUAGGUACUGUAUGAAUAAGGACCGGCUAAUUCCGUGCCAGCCGCCGCCGCGG
rnacentral:rRNA from 1 species